CACUCAUGAAUAAUGAUAUCUAUCUAUCUAUCUAUCUAUCUAUCUAUCUAUCUAUCUAUCUAUCUAUCUAUCUAUCGCUCGCCUCAGACCGUAAGCCAUCACCAGGUAAAUGAAGUAGUUGUUGCUUGCCUUCGAGUCCUGCUAACCCCUCAACAUGACAGAACCAUCUGGCCAAUCGGACUCUGCAGCACAACUACGGACCGUGCUGUCCAAACAAGGUGUCCUCUUGGGCAGGCAUGAUGCCACCAAUAAUGUCGUGUUGCAUCAGCUGAACUCCAUGCUUCAGUAUUUACAUCAAAUGGCUAAUCAAAUCCAGACUUUACAGGACAGGUUUCCUCCAGCUAACCCUGCUCCGGCUCCUGUUCCAGCCCCCACUCUGGCUUCAACUUCAGCUGCUUCUGCGCCACCUCUGUCCUGUGACGUCAUCACGCCCACUCCUGAACAUUACUCAGGUGAGCUAGAGAAAAGCAAGGGUUUCCUGCUUCAAUGUACGUUAGCUUUUCACCGCUCCCCACGCUCAUUUCCCGAUGACGCCAGCAAGAUUUCUUUUAUUUUCUGUUACUAAGAGAUCGAGCGCUUAGAUGGGCGGAGACCGUAGUUGAUGAAGAGAACCUCAUAUAUUGAGGAAUUUAUUGAGCUCUUCAAACAAACAUUCUGUCCCAAGGUUGGUGAAGAAGCUGCCUCAAAAAGAAUCUGGAAUUUAAGACAAGGGAAUAGAUCAGUGGCUGAUUUUGCCAUUGAUUUUCGCACCAUUGGAACAGAAUCAGGUUGGAAUGAACCAGCUCUUACAGGAGGUUUCCAACAUGCCCUGAACAACAAACUGAAAGAUGAGCAGGCAUGCCGAGAUGAACCUGGCUGUCUAGACGAACUAAUUAAACUGGCCAUCAAGAUAGAUAACAGAAUUAGAGAUAGAUCCCGACCCUCAAAUUCCCGGCCUUCUCUGCCUCCCAUUAGGAGGGGUUCUCCCAGCCCUGACUCGCCCAAUCCUCCAAUCCAGAACCCAUGCAGGUAGGCCGAGCCCGGCUAAGUCCAGAGGAAUGGCAAAGUCGUAUAUCCUCAGGUUGUUGUCUUUACUGCGGGUCCUCUCAACAUUUCAUCUCCUCUUGUCCAGUACACAAAAAAAAGCCCUAGCCCGCCAGUAAGUCUGAGGGUCCUGGUGGGCGGAUCUAAAGAGAAUGAUUACCUCCAGCUAAGUCUUCCUGCUGUACUCACUAUCCAGCAUGAUUCCUACCCCUUCCAAGCCUUAGUAGAUUGAGGUUCUGAGCAAAAUCUCAUACACCCUGAUCUAGAAUUUGAUCUGAAUAUCAAAUUCCGGUCCAGGCAUGACCUUCCCCCUGUAGGUGGCUGCCUUGGACGGUAGUCCUAUGGCCAACAUAACCCACCAAACUGACCCAGUUUCCCUCCACAUCUCUGGCAAUCACCAAGAAUACAUUAAAUGCUUUGCGUUUCCCAUUAAGGGUGCCCCUCUGGUUCUUGGGUUCUCCUGGCUCUGCAAACACAACCCCCACAUUAACUGGGCCGAUGCUCGCAUUGACUCAUGGAGCCCUUAUUGUCUCAACCAAUGCUGCAAUCUGCUAAGCCAUCUCUGCCUUCAGAGCCGCCCCAGCCCAUUGGUGAACCUGAUCUAACUAAUGUUCCUAAAGAAUACAAUGACCUCCACUGGGUAUUCAGUAAAGAUCUCGCCCAGUCUCUCCCUCCUCAUCGCCCCUAUGACUGCUGCAUAGACCUUCUUCCUGGAGCCCUACUUCCUUCCAGCCGUUUGUUUAAUAUCUCUAAGCAAGAGAGGCAAACUAUGGAACAGUAUUAAAAUGACUCACUUAAAGCAGGUCUCUGUUGGAUUCCGGGGUUUUUGGGGGUUUUUCAUGUCUGGGUCCUUUUUCGGCUAGUCACUAGCCUUCCACCAGAUGGUGCCACAGACUGCUUUUCCUGGCGGGGCAUGCCAACCUCCAACACACCUGUUUGGCAUCUCCUCAUCAUCUCUGGAGCUCAAGAGGAGCUGACUGCCGGUUCUUCGAUGCCUGAGUGUUUGCCAGCAAUGGUAGUCAGAGCCCUCCAGCGAAAGCUCUUUGUUCACUUGAGUAACUUCCCGAGUAAUUCCUCUCGUUGUUCUCCUCCUCCAGGUGUCCUCCUCGAGACACUGAGUUCCUUUGUUAAGGGAUUAUUUCCCCCUGGUUUUCCGGAACCCAUUGCCUUGUGAAGCUGUGGAGAUUACCCACUGGUUGCCCGAGUCCCCGCACCUACCCUUGGAAACACCGUUCGUCAGUCGGAACACUCCUCUGUCUCCAGCCCGCCAGAUCCUGCCUGUCCGCCUUCCGCCGCCAGCUCCUGGACCCAGCUGGUUCUCAGACAAGCCCGGACCCAUUGAGAAGACCCUUUGGACUAAACGACCUCGAUCCAACAGUUAAACCCUCCCGGACUUUCACCAUCUACUCUGCAAUGUGCCGCAUUUCCCGAGAGCCGUAUUUCCUGGAGCAGACGCACCUCUGCUGAUUUUCUGAUUAUUCAAUAAACCAUUUUUACUGAUUAUCCGUUUCCCUGUGGUGUUCUGCAUGUGGGCUAGAAAAGUAGACCCCAACAUGACAGUCUCAUCCGUCCCUCUUCUUGCCUCCUUGGUACAGGAUUCUUCUUUGUGACUGUAAAAGAUAAUACUCUCCCGCCGUGUAUCGAUUAUAGAGGGCUCAACCAAAUCACUGUAAAGAAUAAAUAUUCUCUCCCCCCCAUUCCUCAGUUUUUGAACCAGUUCACCAAGCCUCCAUCUUCUCCAAGCUCAAUCUGCGAAACGCCUAUCAUCUUAUUCGCAUUCAAGAGGGCGACGAAUGGAAAACUGCAUUCAAAACCCAUAUUGGUCACUUUGAGUACUUGGUCAUGCCCUUUGGUCUCUGCAAUGCCCCUGCCACUUUUCAGAACUUGGUCAAUGAUGUUCUUUGGGACUUUCUCAAUGUUUUUGUUUUUGUCUACAUUGACGAUACUCUCAUCUUCUCCAACAGCCUGGAUGAACACCGCAAGCAUGUCAGGUUGGUCCUCCAAAGGUUGAUGGAGAACCGGCUCUUCAUCAAGGCUGAGAAGUGUCAGUUCCAUGUUUCUUCCAUUACCUUCCUCGGUUACGUGUUUGAGGGUGGACAGGUGAAGACGGACCCAGCUAAGAUCAAGGCUAUAGAGGAGUGGCCUGUUCCGAACUCCAGAAAGCAACUCCAGUGCUUUCUGGGGUUCGCUAACUUUUACCGCCGUUUCAUCCGGAACUUUAGUGUCAUCGCAACUCCUCUCACUAUUCUAACUUCCAUCAAACAACCCUUCAGAUGGAUAACGGAGGCAAAGCUCGCUUUUGGUGAGCUAAAAAGAAGGUUUGUGGAUGCUCCAAUUCUUAUUCACCCUGACCCUUCUGCUCAAUUCACAGUUGAAGUUGAUGCAUCUGAGACUGGUGUGGGAGCCAUCUUGUCCCAGCGUUCUCCCAGAGAUGGCAAGCUCCAUCCGUGUGCCUUUUUCUCCAAGAAGUUUACCACCACAGAGAGCAGGUACGCUUCUUGCCAUAAAGCUGGCUCUUGAGGAGUGGAGACACUGGCUUGAGGGUACAGAGCUCCCGGUCAUCAUCUGGACUGACCAUAAUAAUCUGGCUCAUCUUCAGUCUGCUAAAUGCCUGAACCCACGCCAGUAUCGUUGGUCUCUCUUCUUCUCCCGCUUCAACCUCAACAUCACCUACCACCCUGGUUCCAAGAACACUAAGCCAGAUGCUCUCUCCAGGCUCCACUCCCCAGAUGACCCUUCUGAGGCCUCUGGAGCCAUACUCCCAGCCACCUGCACCACUGGGUCCCUCACCUGGGACUUGGAGAGAGCCAUCCGGGAGGCCCUCACCUCUGAUCCAGACCCAGGAGGAGGACCCCCCAACCUCCAGUAUGUCCCAACCUCCAUCCGGGCCUGUGCCAUCCAUUGGGCACACUCAUCAGGUUUCUUUGACCAUCCUGGUAUAAGCUGUACCCUGCGCUGUUCAUGUGCCUCCAAUCCCUAAUCUUGGAGUGUCCACUUACCGUGGGUGGUUUACGCCCAUAACUCGCACAUCUCAUCUCCAUCUGGGUUAUCUCCAUUCGAGGCCUCACAAGGAUUUCAACCAUCUCUUCUACCUACAUCCUUCCCAGAUACUGUCAUUCCAUCAGUCGGGCAUCACAUACAGAACUGUCAACAUAUUUGGCACCAGACUAAGGCUGCCCUUCAAAGAACUUCUGCCCAAAAUAAGCAUCUCGCAGAUAUAAAGAGAGUUCCUGCUCCCACUUCCUCACCCGGCCAAAGAGUUUGGCUAUAGUCUAAAAUCUUUCCACUAAAAUCAUGUUCCCACAAGUUAUCCCCCAGGUUUCUGAGUCUGUUCAUUGUUGAAAUCAUCAUUAGCCCAUCUGCAGUCCACCUUAAAUUGCCUUCUCAUUUCCGUGUCCAUCCAGUGUUUCAUGUUUCUCAGAUCAAGCCUACAUCUCUACUCCUUUGUGCCCUCCUUCCAAGCUCCCUCCACCGGAUGGUCACCCGGCCUACUCCAUCCGUCGCAUUGUGGAUGUGGGUCCUCAUGGGUGGGGUAGAAAGUACCUAGUUGACUGGGAGGAAUAUGGUCCAGAGGAGCGGUCCUGGGUCCCACUUUCCUUUAUACAGGACCCAUCCCUCAUAUCCUCUUUUGAACUCUCCGCUGCAUCUUCUUCAGGUCGACCGCCAGGAGGCGUCCUUUGGGGGGGGGGGGGGGGGGGGGGGGGGGUGUACUGUUGGGUUCUGCAGGGCAGGGGAGUGUACAUUUACAGGGUGGCAGGCUGACGGGAUCCAGCUGGUGCUCAUCAUCACCAAUCAGCAAAGGCCUUAAAUAGGAGGGGCUUCCCUGAGGCAGAUGCCAGAUGGUUUUGCUUCCACAGUGGUACACUCUAGCUCUCUGUGCUGCAUUUACUGUGUUUAACUUGUUUCUGAUUUCUCUCCCAUCUAUUCCUUCCUCAUAGAACCAGCUCUGACCACUUCCUGGUGCUCAUACUAACCCUCAGACUGUAAGCCACCACCAGGUUACACCAUCAUUCUCUUCAUUUACUUCCCUGUUUUACUUCCUUUUUCUCAGUUCCUCCUCUGGCCCGGUUCCUCCCUGCUGCCACAGAUCAACACCUCUCCAAUAAUACCUUGUCUCACUCUUUAAGGGCUGUGCUGUCACCACCAUCACCAUGAAUCCUUGAAACAGAAGUUGCCUGUUCAAUUUCUGGUCUGUUCGCCCUUGUUGUUUGUGUCCCUGAGCAUCUUGCCUGCUGUUGUUGGUCAGAAGGGCCGAAGGCGCAAAAUUAGUCUCUCUUCUGUUAGCCUAUCCCAGAGCAGCUGUAGCUGCAAUCUAGUAGCUUUCCAUCAUCAUUGUGUGAAUGUUCCCCUGGAGGUUUCAAUUUGGGAUAUAAAGAGCAUUAUAAAUAUUAUUAUUUCUUGUUCUAAAAAUAACCAUUAGGUCACUUUCUUAGGGUAAAAACUGCUGUAAGGUUAAGUAAAGUGAAUUAGUCUUCUUUGUUUUCAAGCUACAAAUGUUUAAUAGAAAAUCUUGACUGUAAUGAUUGUAAGUUGGAAAGUAAACAGAGUCUUACAUCAGGAGUGUAUGGCAUCUACAACACAUGUUUCAUUUUUCUUCUGUUUAGGUGUCCUCCUUUCCCAGCAGUCAACAGUGGCAGGGACUAUGGAACACCGCAAGAAGCAGAGUAACACUGAGGGAAAGCCCCUGGCAACAUUUUUCCAACCCUCUUGUUUCUCUUACUCUACUGUUUCUCUUCAUGGACAAAGAAACUCUUCCAAGUGACCUGAAUGAACCAAAUUAGGAUUCGCUCCUUUGUUCUUCGAGACAAAAAGACUGCCAUCUGAGCAGGAACAUUUCAACACCAUGAUAUUUUUAAGCUUUAUGGCCAUCUACCCCUGAUUCCAGAAGGAUCUUAUCAUACACCAAUGAUACUUUUACAACACCUUUGAUCAAUUUCUUUACUAUCCUUUGAAGAAAGAAACAUGAACACAAAUAUAGCGCAUCAAACACAGCUACACAGCAAACAUCUUACAAAAUGACUUUUGUAACCAUUUAGUUUCAUGUGCUCAUUAGAAAUGUUGCUCAAAUUAACUGAUUACAAAAAUUUCUGUCAACCAUGGCGUUUGCUUCAAUGUUGAGACAUUUUUACCACAUAAAAGAGUAGUGUAGUAAAAACACAUUAUUCUUUGAAAGAAUUGCUGUACCUGCUACUAUCUCACUAUAAUGACAUACAAUAUCAUUAUAUUUGUAUUUAUUAUCUCAUUAUUAAAUUAUUAUUAUAGCUAAGUCAUCAUAUCAAGUCAUUAUGAAGAGAUUUUUUUUAUCACAGUGGAAGAAGCAGGCUGCCAUACUUUACUUUACUUUCCAUACUUUAUUCUUUUUACUUUUCCUUAUGCAGCCAAGCCAUCCUCAUUUGCAUUAAAUCAAUUGGAAUAUUAACUAUAAAAGUUCACAAAUAAAAACCCAUUAUAGAUUAAUUACACAGAUGUUUUAAAGUUUUUAGGUUUAAUGAUUUCUUAGUUGCAGCUAAUAAAAUCAUGGCAUUUAAGAUUAGAAUAUUACAUCAACAGUGAAGAAUAUGUGUGAUACCUGCUUAAAGCUUAUUUUCAAAAGAUACUUUUAAUCUAACAUACAAGACUCAUCGGCACUCAUUCUAAUUUAUUAAAUAUUACGUACUAUGAAACUUGUACAUUUUGUCAGUUUUGGUCCUCCAAAGAAUCUAACUUUGUACCACAGGAAAAACAAAUACACUUUAGUGUGUCUUUCAGUAGUAUGUAAUUUUCGACAGAAAUCUAUGGCUUUUUAACACAGUGUUAAUUUUAAGCAUGACUUACCAGCAGAAUGAUAAUCAAUAGGGAAGCAAUAAAACAUGGCAAGGAUUCAAUCUGUGGAAAGAAUUAGAUGAAGUUGUUAACAGAUGAUGGAAAAAUGUCAGUAAGUGUUUUUUGAGACAAAUAUCACUUGCUACAAUCAAGCAUGUCUUAUCAGUUUUUUGUUUUGUUUUGUUUUUUUUUUACAUAUAUUGAAUAUAACAAAUUGUCCAGCUGCACAGUUUGUUGUUUUAUUAGUUCCUUUUGUAAACUUAAUGAUUUUCUUAAUGAUUUAAAAAUAGAGAAAGUAUAGUACCCCAAUGACCCCAAUGAUGAACGGCACCAUUGGACUUCGUGUUCCCUCGACCGGACGCGGGUCACCGGGGCCCCACUCUGGAGCCAGGCCUGGAGGGGGGGCACGAUGGCGUGCAUACAUCUGCCAUAGCUUUUGAUUUUAAAUGGGUAGAAUAUUCAGAUGAAGUGAUCUUCUUGUGGUUUCGUCGUGUAUAUAAAUUGUUCCUAUGCUAUGCUAAGCAUGACUCUUCAGCUUCCACUUCAGUCCUGUCACUCAAAUAAUAUUAUAAAAUAUAUUUAACAUUAACACAACCUGCUGUAGUUUUUGGUUUGUAAACAUAAUGGUAGCAAUUUUGGACGCGUAGCACCGACAGAUAGACUUAGCUAUCUAUCCGUGCUAUGGUAGGAAAAUCUGAUGAGGCAGCACUGAUAGUCAGAACAUUAGACCCCCGCAAUCUUGGGAAAGUCGAGAUUUGAGCUACCUACCUCAAUUAGCUGUGGCUCUGCAGCACAAACUAAAACCUCCAGUAAGUAAACACUUAAAGGAAAAAACAUGUAACAACUUUAAUUUACUUUCACUGCUCAAUAGGAAGAAACACAUUAACAAUAAAAAUCAGACUACAGUUCAUUAUUUCAUUACUUUGGCUGAAUCAUGAUAAACUGCCUCAUUAUACCAUAAAUCAAAACUAGCUAAACUGCUACGUUGGUUUCAUAGACUUGGCUCCUUUUUCUGUCGAAGGUAGCCAAUAUUUCAAUUAUAUUUAGCUCUCUAACUUUAAUGGGAAGAGUUUGAAACUGGAGGGAGCGGAUGAGCAUUAUCAGCUAGUGCUGACAGCUCUGUAUGGGAGCCGAGAGCAGAGGAGCUAUUGCAGAGCAGCUGACGGUAAAAAAAAAUAAAGUAUGCCUUUAUUUGUUAUCAUCUUCAAUGUAAGAUGAUAACAAACCACAAAAUAAAAUCUGAAUACUUUUCUAUAAAACUCUGGUGCUGAGCCUUAAGUUUAAGUUAUGAUACUCCCAGAUAUUCAAUUUCUACAUAUUUAUAGGUUCUCUGCCAUCCAGGACAUGGAAAAACAAACAAACAAAAUAUUAAAGUUUAAAGCAACUUAAGUUAUAAUUUAAAUAACACAUAACUUGUAUUGAGAACCACUGCAAUAAAUCAAUAUUUAUGAGGACUUUUAUUAAGUGGAGUCACUCAUUAAAACUUAUUUUUAGUCAGAGCCUUACAUUUUUGUAAAAGUGUAGCUGAGACAAGAUCGGUGACACUGAACCAAACUCAUAUCUAAUCAACAUUUGAAUCUUAAUUUGGCUUCUAUGGGUCUCAACAGGUUGUUUACUGAGAAAAACAUAUUUGAUAUGCAUUGCUACAUACUAGUCAUUUUUGGUGGUGCAGCUUAAACACAAUAAAAAAACUUAAAAAAAGUUAAACCACAUUUUACGUUACAUUUGACUGUAACUUUGCCAACCACCCCCCCAAAAAUUACUCUUAAAAAAUUUCUGUUUAUGGUCCCUCCCCCAAUAAUGAGAUGGGAUUUACGCCCCCAUGCAAACACUGUACAUUACUAUAUAAAUAAGCUAAAUUAUGGAAAAUCAGUUCAUACAUUAAAUGUUUUUUAGCCAUUUUAUUGGCGACACACAGACAGGACGAGCAUGCUACCAUAGAAUGGCAGCCAGUGCAGUUAGUGAGAGGUUGAUCAAUCCCAGGUGAGGCUCAACUCGCUGCUGCCUCACCGGCUUCGCUUCUGAGCAUUUGACUGGGAAAAUUCAGCGAUUUUGAA